rnacentral:rRNA from 1 species
GAUAAACGCCGGCGGCGUGCCUAAUACAUGCAAGUCGAACGGGAGCAGCAAUGCUCCAGUGGCGUACGGGUGAGUAACACGUUGGUAACCUGCCCCCGGAGACCGGGAAUACCAGGAGGAAACCCCUGCUAAUGCCGGAUGAUGCCGGAAGGGCGCAAGCCUUUCCGGCCAAAGGCGGCCUCUAAAGCCGCGCCCCGGGAUGGACCUGCGUCGCAUUAGCUAGUUGGCGGGAUAGAGGCCCACCAAGGCUGGGAUGCGUAGCCGAGCUGAGAGGCUGAUCGGCCACAUUGGGACUGAGACACGGCCCAGACUCCUACGGGAGGCAGCAGUGGGGAAUAUUGCACAAUGGGGGAAACCCUGAUGCAGCGACGCCGCGUGGAGGAAGAAGGUCUUCGGAUUGUAAACUCCUGUUGUUGAGGAAGAUAAUGACGGUACUCAACAAGGAAGUGACGGCUAACUACGUG